rnacentral:piRNA from 1 species
UGUGAUCUGCACCUCUUCAGGGUAGCUGUGC